UCCCUGGAGCUGGCGGCAUUACUGCUACACUCGCUGAUGAGGAAGGAAAGACGUCAAGGAAAAGGAACUGCGGGUGGCCCUGUCUUUCCCGGUCCUUCCUUGUCAUCAUUUCCAGCACAAGUGGUUGCUCACACGGGGAAGCGAUGCAAGGAAGAGAGGAUAUGACAGGGCUCCUUCAUCAUGUGUGUUUCUCAGAAUGCCACGGCCUUCUGUCUGCGCUAGGAGCAAGUUCUGGUUGGAAUGGAAAGCGAGACCUUUCGCAGUUGCCAGCGCCCCCCGUGCUCAGCUGCAGGAGUAACUCACUUCUCUUGUACUCAGUGAAUGUCGCUGAACUCUCCUGCAUCGUGGGCUCCCUGGAGUUCUGUGCUCUGGGGCAUCACAAACGCUGGAGGUGAAUGCAGCAGCCAGGAACGGGUUUGUGCGGAUCUCCUCUUCUCCUUUGCAGGCCCCAAUAUCCCAUUGGAUUUCACUCCCAAAACACAAGAUAAAAGAUAAAAUUAUCAAAGAGUUUCAAGAUGGCAAGAUCGGAGCAAUCAACCGAGCUUGGGAUCCUUCUGUGCAUAGGGCCCUGUGAAACUGCUCAGGUCCUAUGCCCGUGAGGCUGGCCCUGUCUGAAGGACUGGCAGGAUGUGUGUGGGCAGAAAGAGAGGACAGAGGGCAUCCCAGGCAAGAGGGGCUUCAGCAAAGACGCAGGGGUAGGAACAUUCCUGGAACACUUAAAAGAGAGAGAGGGAAAGCCUGGUUAGGAAUGGGGUCCCGUUGGUGAGCAUGGGCCAGGAGAGAGGCUUACCAUCUUGGAAACUUCCGUAUCACUCCGCUGGGCCUGUGGACCCUGAACAUGUGGCUCCCGUGCCUCCCCAGGCCUGAAUCAGCUCUGCCUGAGGCUCCCCGCACUGUUUCCCCACUGGACCUUUCACGCAUGGGUGUAAUUAUUUGUUAAAUGAGGGCCAACUGCACUGGACCCCACGCUCGUUGAGAAAGGAGUAGAUGCUGCUCUGUGUUUCUGAACCUCCCUUAGUGCCUGACAUUAUGGAAGGAAGAAAGAAGAGCUCACUCCUCAGGAGUUACACUUUUUUAGCAUGGGAUUCAAGUAGCUGAUUCCUUAAGCUACCAGCAAUUUCAUCUUGAAAAAUGACCUAAUUCUCUAGUUUCCCAUUAAUUUAGACUGGCUUUCUCUUUGAUAGAACAAAAGAGAGCCGCACCUCGUCAGAAGAGUGACUGCAGAUGCACGAAAUGAGUGGGCCUUUCUGCCUAUGGGUGACAUCAUCUUAAAGCUUUAGAAAAGUCACAGACGUGGCCGGGUGCGGUGGCUCACACCUGUCAUCCCAGCACUUUGGGAGGCCGAGGCAGAUGGAUCACGAGGUCAGGAGUUCGAGACCAACCUGGCCAACAUAGUGAAACCCCAUCUCUACUAAAAAUACAAAAAUUAACUGGGCGUGGUGGCGCAUGCCUGGAGUCCCAGCUACUCAGAAGGCUGAGGCAGGAGAAUCACUUGAACCCAGGAAGCAGAGGUUGCAGUAAGCCAAGAUCCUGCCACUGCACUUCAGCCCGGUUACCGAGCAAGACUCCAUCUCAAAAAAAAAAAAAAAAAAAAAGAAAAGUCACAGACGUUAUGCUCCUUCGGUAGUGGUAGUGUAAGCGAUGAGAUCUGGCAAGGGCAAAGAGGAUGACUGGAUGGAUUAUAAUAAGGCAGAUAAAUGUGGAAGAUAAGACCCCAGACCCUAGCGUCUUUCCAGCUCUGAAAUGCCUUCGUUCUCAGUGAGGCUGGUUGAACAACUAUGUUGUUGAUUCAGGUUGGUUUCACAUACCUCUGAGAGGAGAAGAAAGAAAUAUUUCUGGGCUGUUUGGUGAAUGCGUUUCAUGGAUAGAGAGAGGGCAAAGAGGGACAACCUUUACAGAUUAUAUAUUGGCUUAAGUCUACUCACCACCAAGCAAUUGGCUAAAGAUGUCAAGUUUUCCUGGUUCGGUUUUCAAAGUUACAUUGCAGAACAAACAUUUAAAUUCCUGGUGGAUUGUCUCCCGGUUUCCCUCCAGAUGUUUGGUGUGGUGUAGAUAUCACAGUAAAUAAAUGUGUUUAAAAGUCUAAUAAAUUAGGCUAGAGGGUGUGUGGGGGAGGGGGGUGCUAUUUUGCUGUGGCCCUGGGACAAAGACACAGUGGGGAUCAAGAGGUUCCUUGCACCUUCGGCUUGGUAGGUAUGGCGGGGAGUGCUGUCAGCAGGCUCGGGAGCAGUGAGGUGGUGUGGUGAGGAAUGCACCGGAGAGGCUGACACUGCCCGAGCUGUCAGAAUUCACAUUGCCGGAAAUGCAGGAAUGAGUGGAGAGGGGGCUGCGGGGGUGUGUGUACGUGGGAAUGUGCAGAAAGACAGUGCGUGUCCUCGUUGGCGGCGGCCGUGGCUGGGCUGGAACUGAACAGGGCGGGAGGCAGGGCCCAAUCCUGGAAUCCACUUGUCAAUCCCUGGCUCCAGAUGUCUGCACUGGGGGAUUGGGGCUGCCUGGAUGGGGAAACUGACAAGCUGUGGUUACGUCACCGUCCAAAGGCCUGAUUGACUCAUGCCGCCCACUAGAUGCCUUUUAUGACUUGUGGCGCUGGGGCCAAACGAAUUUGCACGGUCAUGUGUUACUGAGCAGUUGAGGGGGAAAAAAGUCGCUUUUGGUGGUUUUAACUGUGAGAUUAAACAUUCUUCAGGAGGACAGCAGAAAAACAGGCUGGGAGAUUAAACGAAACAAACCCAGCUGUGUUUGGGGAGUUGAACGCUUCUCUUCCAGUCUCCUACUCUCAGAACAAGAUCAGAAGAGGAAGCCAAGGCUGAGAAUGAGGAGUGACGUGCUCAGAAUCACACAACAGGAAGGGUGGAGAAUCUCUGCCUGGCACAAAGUGCUUCUUUCUAUGUUCUGCCUCGACUUGUCCCCAACCCAAGGGAUUCUGAGCUGCUCUGGAGGUAUCUGGAAUAAGAAGAGACAGAUGCAGAGCAGGACAGUUCCAGCUCUUUCUUGGGAACAGCAGUACAGAAUGCGAAAUGCUUUCAAGCAAUAAAACCCGUUAUCUGUGCAGAAACCCAUCUGUGCUAAGGAGAAUUCCGCAGGGAUUAUUGUCCCCUGGAGACAGGAGAAGCCAUUUGGUGGGCUAAAGCAUCAAGACAAGACCUUGGCUGAUUAUAAGUCACAUUAGACAAUUACAUUCUUAGCUCCUGGGAGUAAUGAUGGCUGGAUUUGCUCUGAUUUCUUCUUGUUGCAAAAUAAUGCCUGUUUAGGAUAUUUUGGCCUUCUGUGUAAUAAACCUGUGUAUUGGAUUGAGUCGAAAUAUUUGGCACAUUAAAAAUUACUUUCAGUCAAGGUUUUUUAAAAGCCCCAUUUUUCUGUCCACAUUCUCCUUCAUUCCAGAGACCCUAAAUGUACUCUAUGUGGAGACUGAUUAGUCAUCCCGGGUGUAGGACCAGCUCUGGGGCAAACAAUUAGGGUUUUCAUUUUACUCUUUCAUACCCACCAUGUUGUGAGUGGGGAAGAAAAGCAGGACUGAGGGAUGUUAUGGCUCAGGCUAGCUAUGUGUGCCCUCUUUAUCUCUGACCUUGGGAAGCCCACACACUGCAAAGAGGCCAGCAGGGAUCUGGGGACAGGCAGACUUGGAUUCUGAUCUCUGCCCUGCCUCUUCCUAAACCUGUGACCUUGGGCAAGUUGCUCAACCUCUCUGAGGACUGAUCUGUUUCUCUGUAAAACAGGGCAACUAAUUGAAUUCUUAGGGGAUUAAACGAGGCAAUGGAUACAAAAGCAUUGUGACUGUUCAGGAAAUGUUAACAUGUGGCUGGUAGUUGACAACUUCACUGUUGAGGAGUUCCCAGUCCCCAGCCACAGAGACAAGAUUAGCAGAGAUUAUCUCUCAUGGGGCAGAGGAGAAUAUGGGGGGAAAUAUGGGCUUUGGGGUCACCCAGACCUAACUUGUGCUCUCCUAUCUCUUUGUCCUGAGCCGUUACAAUAGCUCUCAGUGCCUCUCUUUUCUUAUCUGCAAAAUGGGCUUAUCAUAAUACAUGCCUGGCAAAAUGUGUUAAGAUAGCUCAUGCCUGAGAGCCAGGUUUAUAUUAAGACUUUAUUGGAUGGCGACAAAACUGGUGCCCAGCAAGGGGGCCUGCCAGAUAAUUCAUCAGGGUCCCAGGCAUUAUCCAUGGACAGAAUAUAUUCUCUCACACGCACUUGUCUGCAUGGUUUUGAAAUGUAAACAGAGGCUAUUGCAAUAAAUGAAAUAAAUUCUUGCCAAGACACUAGUGAAUUCAUUUCCUCUCAGCCAAUGGAUUCUAAGAGGCCGAAAAGGAGAAGUGAAAAUUUUGUUUUAGCACUACAUAAGGCUUCUCGUACUUGCAGCCAAAGAGGUCAGAGAUUUGGUCCCAAGACCAACUUAGAGUCAUGUGUGACACUGGGAUUCAGAGGCUAGUUGUGGGCCACAGGGAGGAAGCUGACCCCUGGGCUCACCCAGCCCACCCACUCACCAGCUCUCCUUUCCUUCCUGGGUCCCUUGGGGAGGAGAAGCCAUCCACCUCAUGGAAAGUGCUUUAGAGGCUCCUCUGUGGGUGCCCUACUCUGCACCCUUUGCGGGGACUCUCUGCUUCAGUUCGCAGGACAACCUUAAUAGCUAACUGCAGAGAGGACUGAAUGGUUAAGUAGCUCCUCCAAGGAAGCAGAGCCAAGUAUCAGAGGCCGGUUUCCAUCCAGGGAUUGAGAGAAGAAUCAGGAGCACAUAGGCUGUGGCAGUAAAAAGCAGAUCCCAAAGACAGUAUAGGGCGGCUCGAAAGGGGCCUUCCUACAUAGCCACCACCACGUGCUCCGGCGCUACCUCCAGGGGGCUGGGCGCAGCUGGAGGACACAGUUCGGCAGCUUGCUAGAAGCCUCCAGCUCUUCCUUUUCUGUAUCCUUCAGGUGACUGUGGAAGGCUGGCCGUGCAGCCUGCCAUCAGCCUGGCCUCAGCCGGGGAGGGGGACCUUUCUCCUGGAGGCCACAGAAACACUGAGGACCUCUCAGCUGAGAAGGUCAGAUGGAGGUGCUGGAUGAUUGGAGGAGAUCAAACUGAUGAGGAAAACGCAAAUGGCAUCCUUCAGGAGCAAAAGCUGUCUCCUCUUUUACUUCACAUGUCCACCCAGCAGCUCUAUGAGUUCUGAUUCAGCAUUGCACUUACCACCCACCCUCCCCGCCUUUUACAGAAAAGGAAACUGAGGCUCCGAGGUUGCGGAGUUGCUUGCUCCAGCUGAUGACAAAGGCAGGUAAAGCCAGGGCUAGAGUCCCUUCCCAGCCCUCCAAAUGCCGUUAGCGCCAUGAUCCUACAGCCUCCUCAAAGUCCAGUCAGGCAAACUCUUGCCCUUGUUUCCAUUAAACACAUAUCUUCAUCUUUUUCGUACUUUUAAUAAUAGCAGGAAGUAAAUCUGGCCAUGUAAUGUGAGAAAGGUAAUAGUCCCAGGUCAGGAAAUCCUGUUGCUUGGAGUCUCUUGGGAAUGUUAACUUUCCCACUCUCACCCUACCGGGAUCCUGACCUCCUGCACAGUUGGCUUCCUCAGGCAAAACUGGGCCAGAAAUUCUGGGCCGUUGGCCAGAGUCAGACCUUCGUCCUCUGGUAGCGUCCGCUGGAAAAGAGGAGGCGAGAGUCACCAGGAGGCUGGCCCCACUCGCAGGCCCUGCCCUCUGCCGGUGGGUCCUAUGGAUGACACGAGGCCGCACUGGGCUGGAGAAGAAGAGAAGCUCCUGAGACACGCCCACUCUGCAGAGGGAGGCAACCGCACAGGUAAUCCAUCCUCUCUAGGCUUUUCUGUUCCCGUGCAGUAAGUGAAGUGAAGCAAGGUGAAGAAGUGAAGUGAGCAUUCAGGACAUGAAUUGGCACGUGGUCGGUGCUAGAGGAGCUGGCAAGGUAGACUCUGGUCUCUUCUGUGGUGCUGAAGCUGGGGAAAUAAGGAACAAUCUCAUCCACAGGCCAGGCCUCCGGCGUGCUCGGGAGCUACUGACGGAAACUCCUAGGGAACUUCCCUUGUGGAAAGAACGUAAGCUCCGCCCACUCGGGCAGCUGAGGCCAUUGAUUCGUUCACUCAUUCGCUGGACUAUUUCUCCAGCCCAUGAUCUUAUUUUAUAACAAGUACAACAUUCAUUCAUUUUUACACAUAAUUACCUCACUUAUUCCAUGGAAGAACCCUGCAAGUUUGAUGGUUG
rnacentral:lncRNA from 10 species